rnacentral:rRNA from 1 species
CAGCAGCCACGGUAAUACGAAGGGGGCAAGCGUUGUUCGGAAUUACUGGGCGUAAAGGGCGCGUAGGCGGCUUAUCAAGUCAGGCGUGAAAUUCCCGGGCUCAACCUGGGGGCUGCGUUUGAUACUGAUGAGCUUGAAUGCGGGAGAGGAUAGUGGAAUUCCCAGUGUAGAGGUGAAAUUCGUAGAUAUUGGGAAGAACACCGGUGGCGAAGGCGGCUAUCUGGCCCGUGAUUGACGCUGAGGCGCGAAAGCGUGGGGAGCAAACAGGAUUAGAUACCCCAGUAGUCCCUGUCUCUUAUAC